rnacentral:rRNA from 1 species
CCUACGGGAGGCAGCAGUGAGGAAUAUUGGUCAAUGGACGAGAGUCUGAACCAGCCAAGUAGCGUGAAGGAUGACUGCCCUAUGGGUUGUAAACUUCUUUUAUAUGGGAAUAAAAUGUUCCACGUGUGGGAUUUUGUAUGUACCAUAUGAAUAAGGAUCGGCUAACACCGUGCCAGCAGCCGCGGUAAUACGGAGGAUCCGAGCGUUAUCCGGAUUUAUUGGGGUUAAAGGGAGCGUAGGUGGAUUGUUAAGUCAGUUGUGAAAGUUUGCGGCUCAACCGUAAAAUUGCAGUUGAAACUGGCAGUCUUGAGUACAGUAGAGGUGGGCGGAAUUCGUGGUGUAGCGGUGAAAUGCUUAGAUAUCACGAAGAACUCCGAUUGCGAAGGCAGUUCACUGGACUGCAACUGACACUGAGGCUCGAAAGUGUGGGUAUCAAACAGGAUUAGAUACCCUUGUAGUC